CAAGUGUGCAUGCGCACUAGCUACCCGGAUACCCACCAUUACAUACAUGGCCUUAACAUUAGCUCCUUAACAAAGUAGAAUAGAUCAUUUUUAUAAAUAUUAAACAACUGCAAUCUUUAAACAGUGGUUAUGUAGGAACACGAACUACCAUGUUGCUGCUAGUCUUGCUUUGACCCUAACUGUGGGUUUUAAUGUAGUAUCAACGUUUCUGCCACCAUGGUUCCCUUUCACUGUGAAUAGAAUCGAUUUUGAGUACUUGACUGCUACGUGCAAUAGUGCCUCACUCACUGCAAGACUGCUAACCUUACACGAACUCUCCAAGGAACUCCAAGCAGAGUUUGGCUGAACUGUGACAGGAUGGAUGAGCUAACUGACUACUUAAGGUCACGGCAUGUCCCCGAAGAAGACAUACAGCGAAUGGAACAAGAUAAGAUUGAUUCCAGUGUUAUACGUCUCAUGACAGAUGACCAGCUAAGCCAUUAUCUACCGUCCUAUGGUGAUCGACUGGCUGUGUUUGGAUACUGCAGGCGGAAAGACAAAGAUCCCAGCACUCGCAA